rnacentral:rRNA from 1 species
UACGGGGGGGGCAAGCGUUGUUCGGAAUUACUGGCGUAAAGGGCUCGUAGGCGGCCAACUAAGUCAGACGUGAAAUCCCUCGGCUUAACCGGGGAACUGCGUCUGAUACUGGAUGGCUUGAGUUCGGGAGAGGGAUGCGGAAUUCCAGGUGUAGCGGUGAAAUGCGUAGAUAUCUGGAGGAACACCGGUGGCGAAGGCGGCAUCCUGGACCAACACUGACGCUGAGUGAGCGAAAGCCAGGGGAGCAAACGGG